ACUCCUACGGGAGGCAGCAGUGGGGAAUAUUGGACAAUGGGGGAAACCCUGAUCCAGCCAUGCCGCGUGUGUGAAGAAGGCCUUCGGGUUGUAAAGCACUUUCAGUGGGGAGGAAAGGUUGUUGGUUGAAUACCUAACAGCUGUGACGUUACCCACAGAAUGAAGCACCGGCUAAACUCCGUGCCAGCANCCGCGGUAAUACGGAGGGUGCAAGCGUUAAUCGGAAUUACUGGGCGUAAAGCGUGCGCAGGCGGUCUGUUAAGCGAGAUGUGAAAGCCCCGGGCUCAACCUGGGAACUGCAUUUCGAACUGGCAGACUAGAGUCUUGUAGAGGGGGUAGAA
rnacentral:rRNA from 1 species